GGGGUUGUGGCUCAGUGGUAGAGUUCUUACCUAGUAUGUGUGAUGCACUGGGUUCAAUUCCUAGCACCA
rnacentral:tRNA from 1 species